ACGCUCGACACCUACGGGAGGCAGCAGUCGGGAAUAUUGCGCAAUGGAGGAAACUCUGACGCAGUGACGCCGCGUGCAGGAAGAAGGUUUUCGGAUUGUAAACUGCUUUAGACAGGGAAGAAAGAAAUGACAGUACCUGUAGAAUAAGCUCCGGCUAACUACGUGCAAGCAGCCGCGGUAAUCUGAGCGGGCUGGCAAGGC
rnacentral:rRNA from 1 species